CCAACAUUUCUCAAAAAUGGAAUUCUUUCCUUGUCCUUCGUAUCUUCCCCUAUUAUGUAGCUUAUAUUGAACUGGUAUUCUUCAAAACUGAACUACUUCCCAUGUAGUUCGCCCAAAUUCAGGUUCAAAAGGCUCACUCGCAUCCUCCAUUCCCAUAUAUCUCCCCUACACUUAUCUGAUCUCCAUCUCCACCCGGUUUCUGCACUCACACCACUUCUCUAUAGAAGAACCCCACCAUAAUAUGUCUCUAUUCAUCUCUAAACCCUUAUCCUACAACCACUCUCUGCCUAAUCGCUACCACCCACCCAAUUUCCUCUCUUCGGAAUUAAUGACCUAGCCUCAUCUCUCCACCUUCAACCACUACUACAAUUACCAGACUUCAAUAGCGAUCUGUUUCUUGGGGAUUCGGAUCUAAAUCUCAGCUGGUGAUAUGUUUCUUGGGUUUUCUUCUCAAGAAUCUUCAAAGAAACAGACCAGGUAAUUUGUGUUGUUCUUUUCAUUUCCUCUGUAUAAAAUACUUAAAAAAACCCAUUGUGUGGCGAUUGUCGGUGUCAAUUACUGUGUGAUUACAGCCGAUACUUGAAUGUCCAUUGGCUAUAGUACGAGUUGUUUGAACCGAUUCCAUCUCUAUCUCUCUUUAUUUAUGUUUAUGUUUGCAAAAAACAGAAUCAAACAUAUUUGAUUUCUGAUUUCACGAGCACACCACUACAACCAUUAGCGACAUUCACCACCGCCGUUUACUGCCUUCCUUCUCUCUUUAUCUCAGUAUCUGAUCAAGAAACCUGAAAUAUUUGUAAAUUCUUAGAUUCAUCCUCAUUUUUUGUCUUGUCUCUAUUUAACCACACUCCUAGCAUCGAUUGUGUGGUGACUUUUUCUGAAGGAACAACACCAAUAGCUAGCUAAAGACUGUAGGAGCUGUUGGUUUUGGAUCCACAAUGUUACAAAAUUAACAUCAUGUUUUUCAUUCAGCUAAAGUUGGAUACAGGAUGCUAGGAACAGAGGGUCCAAUGUUAUGGGUGGUUUACCUGGGUUUGGUUUCUUUAUUUCUUUUUAUAUGUGGGUUCUUAUUUUUUUUUCCUUUGAUUUUACCCAAUAUUUUUCUAAUAUAUGUUGUUAUUUUAUCUUUAAAAUGUUAGUUGAUCAGGUGAUUCAAAGCUUUCUUUGGUUGUCUCAUUUUUUGUUAAACCAAUGGACAAAGCCAGGUUUUAGAUUUCUUCAAGCAAGCAAAAAAAAAAAAAGGCUGAAAUAUGGUAUUAAUUAUGUGAUUCAAGCAUUUGUUGGUUCUUUCAUGAUUUUUUACUAACAAAUCUGCAUAAGGUCAUAAGGUCAUUAUUUCCAUCCUAAUUUUCCCCUUUCAUAAAAAUAUUUAUUAUUUCACUAUUUCAAGCUAAAAACGUGAUUUUUAUUGUUCUCUUCUGUUAUUUGUUUAGUAGUUGAGAAAAUAUUGCUGACACGGAAGACGAGGAAGAGAUUGUGAGACACAAGGUGAUAUUAUUGAGAACUUGCUCUUGAAGUAUAUAUUAUAAUUUUUAGUAAUAAUGUUCUAAAAUCGAUUCAUAUUUAUAGGAACAAAGGAAUGACACAUAUACAAAGGAAGCUCCUGUUCAUGCUUCAAAACUUUUACAGCUUAUGUUUAUUCUCUUUUCCUUACUUCAGCUUGCACAAAGAUAAAACUAAAGAUAAUGCAAUUUUUAAUACUUAUUACUUAUUUCAAAAUGAAAAAUUUAAUGUUUAGCUACGGUUUUUUUUUAAUUAUUAGUAUUUUAUCCUUUGUAAUGGUUAAUUAGACUGAUCUUUUAGUCUAUACCUAUGAAAAGCGGUUAGUUAUUAUAUUUGAAUUUAUGUUUAUCCUUUGUAACGGUCAAUAAAAAUGGAUUGAUAGAUAAUAUAUUAUGUGUUUUUAUUCUUAAUACAUGAUGCAUUUAUGUUUACUUAAGGAAUGCGUUAAUUUUUU
rnacentral:lncRNA from 1 species